GGAGUGGUAGUUCAGUCGGUUAGAAUACCGGCCUGUCACGCCGGGGGUCGCGGGUUCGAGUCCCGUCC
rnacentral:tRNA from 1 species